AUCCCUGCUGUGUGCGUGUGGUAUCGCAGUUUUGAGCCAACAUAUUAACUUAGGGAGCCUGGACUCUCGUAUCGGCGCUACGCCUGUGAAGGACAGCAAUGUUAUGAGGAGGGCACCCACCUGCCCUUGCAGGAUCAAAACGCGGUACAUAUACGGCAUGGUGGGGCU
rnacentral:other from 1 species